rnacentral:rRNA from 1 species
UACGGAGGGAGCAAGCGUUAUUCGGAAUUAUUGGGCGUAAAGAGCGCGUAGGCGGAUGUUUAGGUCUGACGUGAAAUCGUUACCGCUUAACGGAACGACUGCGUUGGAAACCGGAUAUCUUGAGUAUGGCAGAGGUUGGUGGAAUUCCUGGUGUAGCGGUGGAAUGCGCAGAUAUCAGGAAGAACACCGGUGGCGAAGGCGACCAACUGGGCCAUCACUGACGCUGAGGCGCGAAAGCUAGGGUAGCGAACGGG